AAACAUGCUCGCUAGGAUGUCGCAUCCUAUGCAUACGUAUCUUCUUGGACUAAGAAGAAUCAGAGCAUUCGUAGCUCGGCUAACACACGCCAAACAAACACACACGGGAAAUCGACUGCCAAUCGCUGGACUUACGUCAAACUCCACACAAACAGGCAAACAUGGAAUCCGAAUGCCAAUCGCUGGACUUACAUCAGACUCCGAACCAAAACACACCCACACUGGAAACC
rnacentral:lncRNA from 1 species